rnacentral:lncRNA from 1 species
AAUUGGGAUUCUGCCUUUGGGGAAGUGCUUCCUUUCAGGGACUAGAGAGGAAGAAGAGGAUUUAUCUGACUCAACUGGAGAUGGCUCCCUUCCCUUAUUUAUUGUUGCAUCCUGAAGCUUCCCCCAUGCUGGGCUCAGUGUGAACAAACAGCGCGGGAGAAUGCAACCACUGCAGAGGCAUAUGUUUGAGAUACCUGGCCACUGGAGGUCAUCUCGUCUACUAUAUUCACCGCAGAUAAAGAAUGAAAAGAGAAUACACAACCUUGUGAUUGCUAGCAGUGAAAGCUCAGAGUUAUGACAUAACAAGUGGUUGAUCAUACUGUAAAACUCAAAUGUGAAGGGAAGGCUGGAACCUACUGGAAACUGAAGAUCUAACGAAAAGAAGGAACUUUUAGGAACUAGCAGAGACUUCAAAAUGUUGAGAACUCUCUUUUUUCAUAAGAGAAGAUAAAAACUCUGAUGGUCACACUCAUAAAGACAAAAAACAAAUAAAAAACAAACAAAAACUCAGAAUCACAAGAGCAAAGAAAAUGUAGGUAAAACAAUAACAGAAGAGGUAAAGAAAUUUAUGUGAAUUGGGACACUCUGGGGCACAGAACAGAAGAGGAGAAGAAACAUGAAAGUAAUGCUCUGCACAAGGAUGUCUGACUGUCCUUGAUUCCAAGGGCAUUUAAAAUUAGCCACUGGAUGAGAACCAUGAAAUGCCAUGACUCUUACAGCUCCCAUGAAAGACAUUGGAUGGAACUUAUCCUAACUGGACCAAAUUCUAAAAAAUUUUACAUGAUAUUAUAAUGAGUUGAAAGUUGAAAAAAAAAAGCUCUUCUAGAUUACCAAGAAUAAAACACAAAUUUCUAGCUGACUGAAUUAAUUCUCAUCUCUCUAUAGAAAGAUCAUAGAAAUUUUUUUUAUCAUGCAAAGAAAUAGCUAAAAAUUUACAAAAAUAUAGACGUGCAUUAGGCAGCUCAUGAAUAAAUGCGUUUUUUCCUUUUUUCCUCCAGAAUUUUGUGAUGUUUAUGGUACUUUUCGGCUUUUAAAAUUUUGUAUUUAAUCAGGAUUUAUUACUUCAUUGUAAGUAAAUAUUAAAUUUGUACUCCAUCUUUGUUUGUAAUUUUGUAUAUUUUUCAGUAAAAAGGACUCCCCAGAUUAUGUAAGCUUUAGGCCCCACAAAAUCUAGGCCUGUUGCUGUAUCCUUUCUAGAGCAGUGUUUCUCAAACUUCAAUGUGCAUUUGAAUCUCCUGGGGCUCCUGUUAAAAUAUAGCUUCUGAGAUGAUGCAUUUCUAACAGACUCCCAGGGCUGACACUGCCCAUCUGGGGACCACACUUUGAGAAUCAAAUAUCUAGAACAAUGGUUCUUACCUGGCUGUGCAUUGGGAUCAUUUAUAGUGCUUUUGGAAAAUACAUUGUGUCCAGGUCCCACCCAGUUCUCAGUAGGCUUGGAAUGGGGUCCUACACUUUUUUUUUUUAACUCCACAGUUUGGGAAAGAAGCCUUUUCAUAUAUUGUUGGUGGGAAUACAAAUUGAUACAGCCAUUUUUGAGCUUGAUUUGGCAAUAUCUUCCUUGGAGAAAUCAAAAGCCAGUUGGCAAGCCAGUCUGGAAAAGGCAGUUUACUGAUUCCCACCCGAGGGUCACAAAGCAGGUAUAGAAGGAUGGGCUUUGGCUGAAAUAUAUGAUGGGUACAGGUAUAUUCUCUAUAAUCCAGUAUUUCCACUGCUGAAAACGUAUCCUAGUAACAUUAUACAUAUCAAGCCUACAUAUAAAGUUGGUCAAUUCCAUAUUAUUUGUAGUAGGGGAAAACUGAAAGCAGUCUACAUGCCCAUCAAUAGAUUAUUCAAAUUAUGGAACAGUUUUCCAAUGACAAAACAAUAGCUAAUCUUAGUUAAGCAAUUAUUAUGUUAUGUAAGGUAGACAUUGUUCUACCUUAUUUAUAAGUAUUAAGUUAGUUUUUAUAACUAUCAUAUUUCCAUUUUACAAAUGACAUAAUUUAUAUUAUUGACAUGGGAAGAUGUCCAAGGAUAUAAUAAGCAAAAAGCAAGUAGCAAAACAUUAUGUAUAUUAUGCAUUACCAUUAUAAUAUACUAAAAAGUAAUGCACUUGAUUCUGAUGCACACUCCCCAGUAGGUAACAACUUAUCUAGUGUAAAAAUGAAAGAACAUUCUGGGCCGGGCACGGUGGCUCAUGCCUGUAAUCCCAGCACUUUGGGAGGCCCAGGUGGGCGGAUCACAAGGUCAGGAGAUCGAGACCAUCCUGGCUAACAUGGUGAAACCCCGUCUCUACUAAAAAUACAAAAAAAAAAUUAGCUGGGCGUGGUGGCCGGCGCCUGUAGUCGCAGCUACUCGGGAGGCUGAGGCAGGAGAAUGGCGUGAACCCGGGAGGCGGAGCUUUCAGUGAGCGGAGAUAGCGCCAUUGCACUCCAGCCUGGGCGACAGAGCGAGACUCUGCCUCAACAACAACAACAACAACAACAAAAAAAAAAAAAAAAAAAAAAAAAGAACAUUCUGUUACCUCAAACACGCUGUUUUCAUGCAAUUUAGUUAACUGGUAGCACUUUCAGAAGAAGACAAAGUAAAAAUGGUUAGGUCAAUUUGGUGGCAUAGAGUAUUCUAUCGAUCAGUGGUCAAAAGAGUAGUCAUUCUGAGUGAUCUCUAACAUUAGGGUUGAUGGAAGAGAUGACCCAUAGAUGUCCCUACAUCUCAUUUCUCUUAGGACACACACUUGGGAGAAAUCGUCCAGUGCACUUUGUCCAGGCCUUUUACUUGUACCAACUACUUUGCUUUAUGCUGUUUUCACUUUAGUGGUUCUGCCUUCUAGUCCACAGAAAAGUUUUUUCUUAACGUAUUUUUUUCCCAACACUUUAUUAUGGGAAUUUUCAAACAUACAGAAAAGAUAAAAGAAAUUUACAGAGAAUACUCGUGUCUCUAUCAGCUAGAUUCUACAGUUAACAUUUUACUAUAGUAGUUUUAUUGCAUAUCUGUUUAUCUCCCUGUGCAUCCAUGGAUCCAAUUCAUCUUUAGGAUGCAUUUCAAAGCAAGUUGCUGACGUCAGUACACUUCCCUCUCAAUACUUUAGUAUGUGGAUCAAUAACCCUAGCUUAAGAUUUGUUGAUUGUUUUUCUUUCCUUUUGAAGUAAAAUUUACACACAAGGAAAUGCACACAUCUUAAGUGGACCAUUUGAUGAGUUUUGAGUAAUGCCCACAUUGUGUAACUCAAACGUCUAUCAAGAAAGAACAUUACCAUACCUGAGAGUAUCCUCAUGCUCCUCCCCUGGGGUACUCCCUGCCUCUCCACACCAAUCCCCCCAGGUAACAACUGUUCUGAUAUCCCCCUCACCAUAUAUACCUGCUCUAGAACAUCAUAUAAAUGGAAUGAUACAAUAUGUCUUUUGUAUAAGCUUUAUUCCACUCAGCAUAAUGUUUUUGCCAUUCACCCAUAUUAUUGAUCAUAUUAGUACCUUGCUCCUUCUUAUUACUGAGUAGUAUUAGAUAGUAUAAACAUAGCGUAGUCUAUUUUCCUAUUUUGAUGGAUAUGUGGGCUUGUUCUGAUUUUUGCUUAUUAUGAAUAAAACUUCUGAGUAUUCUUGUACAAGUAUUUUUUGGACAUACAUUUUCAUUUCUCUUGGCAAAAUACCUAGGAAUGGAAUUGCUGGGUCAUAGGGUAUACUUUUAGUUUUGUAAGAAGCUGUCAGAUCUCUUCCCAAAGUGGUUGUAACAUUUUACACUCCUACUAACAGUGCAUGGGAAGCCAGUUUCUCUAUAUCCUCUCCAACAUUUGGUGCUGUCAAUCUUUUAAAAUUUUAGCCAUUUUUGUGGUUGUAUAGUGUUAUCUCAUUGCAGUUUUAAUUUGCCGAUCCCUGAAUGUGUGUAGGUGUGUAUAUGUAUUAUAUAAUAUAUAUAUUAUUCUUUCACUUAUUUUGAAGUAAUUUCAAAGUUUCCAGAAUAAUAUCAAGAACUCCUGUACUCCCUUCGCCAGAUUCUCCAAUUGUAACGUUUUAUUGCAUAUGCUCCAUUGCCCAUUCUCUCUCUACUUAUAGCUGCAUUAGUGUUUUUCUGAACCUUUAGAGAUGAAGGUGAAAAAAGAUGCGAUAUCACCACCCUCCCGUUCUAGUAUGCAUUUUCCCCAAAUAAAGACAUUUUCCUACAGAAUCAGCAUAUGAUCCUUCAUAUCAGGUUAUCAACAGUGGUAUAACACUGUCCAGUCCACAGACCCCAUUUGCCAAUGAGCCCCCAAAUCUCUGCUUUUUCUUUGUGUUCCAGGAUAUUAUCCAUGAGCCUGUGUUUCAUGUAAUUGUCAUGUUUCUUCGGAUUCCUUCAAACUGCUACAGCUUCUGUGUCUAUCCCUGUCUUCCAUGUGCUUGACAGCUUUGAAGAGUACAGGUCCUUCAUUCAGUAGAAUGACCACCAAGCCAGGUCCACCAGAUGUUUCAUCAUGGUUUUAGUGAGGUUAUAAAUUCUGGGCAGUAAUUCUACAGAAGUGCUGCUUUGUUUUUCUCAGUGCCUCACACCCAGUGGCACAUAUCAUCACCACUGGUGAUGCUAACCUCGAUUGCUCAACCACAUUGUCUGCCAGCUCCCGCCUACUUAAAUUCAACAUUUUGCCUUUUGCAAUUUAUUUGUGUUUUGUGGGAACAUAUUUUCAUUUCUGAAAUUAGUCAAUAUCCUGUUCCUUAUCAAACUUCCAACUCUGGUCUUAGCAUCCAUUGACUGAAUCAAGUGCCUUUGUGUAAGUUUCCACAUGAUGAGUGUCUAUUUCCAUCAUUGGUUCUAUUUUUAUGAGCUGGUAUUUUACUAUAAGAAAUAGCAUAUUAUUUUCUAUGCUUAAACCACUGCAAGUUUGACCCUUUCAAGCUGGUUUUUGUGUCCUUUUGACAUAUUCCCAUUGUUCAUUGAGCAUUUCCUUAUUUUCUGGCAUAAGAAGAUGUUCCAAGUGCAACUUGUAUAUUACCUGUUUCAGCCCUGGAAUCAGACAUUUUCCUAAGGAUCCUUGGUUUCUUUGAAUAAAGGAUACUAUUUAGAAGCCAAGAUCUGGUUAAUCCGUAUGUUAAUUGCUACUGGGGUAUCAUUGCUUUAGGCCCAUUCAGUGGACAGAGCUAGGAAAAAUACACAUUUUUCAUGUCUGUCUGGCUACAUAUGUAUGUAUUUAUACAUCUAUAUGAUUUUGAUAUCAAUCUCUAUGUAUGUUAUAUAUACAUAUAAUAAAAGCAUAAGUCCAUACUAAUACCCUGUUUCAAUCCAGCCCCUCAGGAUUAUUUUCUAGAUUUCCCCCUUUUGGUAUUUAUAAAUACCUAUUUCAGUAAUGAGGGUUUGGCUCCUUUUAUGUUCAAUAUAGUUACUUAUUUACUUAAUCUCCCAACUACAUUGCUGUCUCUUCUGCCCACCACCUCCACAUCUUAUCUCCUUCCUGACCUAGGUCUCACUGGCUCCUGCCCUGCAUCCUUGGUUUUUGGGCUGCCUGUCCGUGCCUCUUCACAGCUCUCUAACCGCCUCCCCUCCUUGUGAUUUUAGCUACUGUGCUGACUUUUCCACACUGGGAAGGAAAAUGAAGGGACAAUGUAGCAGGUUUCAGUGGUGAAACAAACAAACAAAAAAUUGAACAAACCCAACCCUUCAUUUCCAUUUGCAGUAGUUCUAUUUCCCAGCUCUCAUUCUUGAAUUUUUUUUUUUUUUACAAAGAAAAGCACUCAGUGUUUUAAAAAAAACGAAAAACAAGAAAAAUGGGAAAGAUCAAGUGUAGCGAGUUACAAUUUUAUUUAAGAUCCCCAAUAAAAAGGCUUUUUAAAAAGGUUAUCAGAAUUAUAACCUGUUCCUGCUGUGCAAUCAGCUCAACCCCAUCACAACUCUGCCCAGCAGGAGCUAAUGCUACACUCUUUCAAGUGAACAUGCUUAUGGCCUGCAAAGGGGUUAAUUAACAAUAAGGAGUUGUAGCAGAAGUCUCCAUCUGCACAAGUGUUGGCUGUCCUUUGAUGGGCACAGUGGGCGAGGAUCCCAGCCACCCGCACCAGUCCUCUGACCUUGGUGUUCACAAGGUCUCAGCUGUUGCAAGCCUGCAGGCACCGAUGUCAGGUUUUCAGCACAAACUGGAGCUUCAUGGGGGCUUUCUCAUCAGAGCCUUUGCCUAUUGCCUUUGGGGAGAAGCACUGCAAUCAUUAGUUUCAAAUUCCUUAAAUCAGAGAAAUGAUCUUGCUUUCGGAAACAAUCUGAUAGCCCUUCCUGGAAACUGGGGAUGGUAGACACACCUUGAGAGCACCAGGCAGCUCUUUCAUUUCUUGCUUGGCAUUGACUCACUCCUCUCACUGCAUUCCCUGCACUAACCAGAAGCACAGAUUCUUGGCUUAGCAUAGAUGAGAUUGCACAGAACGGGGGCACCCUUGGGGUCUGCCUUUGUCUCUGGUCACACACUCCCCACUCACCAGGGAAUCCACUUAAGCAUCUUUGAAAUAAGCCUCAUUUGCAGGUGUACGGUGGCCCAUGACCUAUGAUAGGGAAGGAAAAUUUGCCUCAAUACAUGUGCUAGCUCUGAUUGUGAGUGGAAGCCUGGGAGAGCUGUGUGGGAAAGGACUUUGAAGCCUCAUCUGGGCAUGAUAGAGAAGAGUGCUGCAAUUGAUUAGUGGUAUCUGCCAUGAGCAUGGAAGGGAGGAUUGGGACAAUGUACAACACAUUUGCCAUCCCUAUCCUAGGAUUUAACUCCGUCUUCCAGCAGAAGAUUACUAAGGCAGUUUUGCCUGAGAUAUUUGGUAAUCAUCUUAAUUUCAAGGCUGUCUGGUGAUAUCUCAUGUUCGUUAUACUUAUUUAUAUCACUAAGAUUUUGGCACUUGUGUGUUCCCUGACUAAUGAUAAGAAAAGAAAGUGAGAGAAAUGAAUAUUUAUUAAGCACCUACUAAUUGUCAGUUAUUCUUUUAGGAGCUUUAAAAAAUGUAUCUCAUCAAAUAUUCAAAAUAAACCUAUAAAAAUCAGAAUAUUACUCCUCUUUUUAAUAAAGAAAUGAAGGCUCAGAGAAGUAAAAUAUUUGCUUAAACCAUAAUAGAAAAUUUCAAAUCCAAGGAUAAUGCUCAUUCUGAUAUACUUGGGCAGUGGGUCUCAAUCCUGGGAAGAUUAAAAAAAUUUUUUUAAAGUAUAAAUGACUGCAUCUCAUCAUAGAUAAUUACAUCAGAAUCUCCAGGAAAGGGAAGCUUAGGCAUAAGAAUGAUGUUAAAAAUUCCCCAGUUGAUUCUUACCUGCAGCCAGGUGCAAGAACCACACACCAAGGGGGUGUGGAGCAAGAUAAUUCACCUUUAUACAAUGCCUACUCUGAGCCUAGCUUUUUCUUUCCCCCGCCUAUAUUCUAUCUGAUUUAAUUUUUACACAAUUCCUUAAAGCUUCAUUUUUCCUAUGAGGGAAAGCUGAGGCUCAGAAAACCUCAGUAUGUUUCUGAAGAUCAUGCAGUAAAACUGGAAUUUGAAGGCAAAUCUGUAUGGUUUCAAAGCACUUGCUCUUUCCACGUCUCCAUGCUUCUUCCAUUAGGUUUCUGAACCCAGGCUCCAUCCUUAACCUUACUGUUGAGCAAUUCUGGAUCCCACCUGGCUUCCAAAUCUGUCCUGAACCUGUCAUUCUAGCUUGGGCUGGAACCAUCAUUUGUAGUCUCAGCAUUUAGUUUCGUGGGAGAAAAAAUGUAACAAGUGCUUCCUUAAGCUACUACCAUUUAUCCUGUGGAAUUUGGGCAGCUCAGCAUGAGGCUGUUUUCAGAGCUAGGGGUCCGGAACAAACGGUGUGACCUUGCCUCUGAAGAAUGUCUAUGUUUAGACCACAGGAGUUUGGAGUUUUUUCUUUGGUCCCCAGGCGGUUCAAAGCAGUACAAAUGAGUUGUGGGGUCCAGAGUUCCUGAUCCUGUGGGUUGUGGGCACCUGGGUUCCUGCUUUGGCCAUCAUGGUACCACACUGACUUUAGCUCCUAUGGUCAGAAUCGUGGGUGUCCAUGAGAUAACUAAGCAAACUAACAGAACCUUA